rnacentral:rRNA from 1 species
UAGUUGGAUUUCUGCGAGAGUAUGAUGUCCUAACGUGUUUAGAGCGCAGAAAACUCUUGCAUCCUUCUGUUACCUCCACGUGGCAUUCACUUGCCAGUGGUUGGCUCAGAGAAUUUACCUUGAGAAAAUUAGAGUGUUUCAGGCAGGCUAGGCCGGAAUACAUUAGCAUGGAAUAAUAGAAUAGGACUCCGGUCUCGUUGUUGGUUUGAGGGACUAUAGUAAUGAUUAAUAGGGACAGUUGGGGGCAUUAGUAUUCGAUUGUCAGAGGUGAAAUUCUCAGAUUUAUUGAAGACUAACUUAUGCGAAAGCAUUUGCCAAGGAUGUUUUCAUUAAUCAAGAACGAAAGUUAGGGGAUCAAAGACGAUCAGAUACCGUCCUAGUCUUAACCAUAAACUAUGCCGACUCGGGAUCGGGGGCGUGUUAUUAUCCGCCUUCGGCACCGUAUGAGAAAUCAAAGUCUUUGGGUUCUGGGGGGAGUAUGGU